GUAUUUUUCUGAAAAAUGUGUGGUCGAAAAAUAAUGAAAAGUUUAUGAAAAAUUGUGUGAUUGAAAAUAAAAGAGAGAGAGAAUGAGAAGAAGAAUGGGGGCCAAAUGAGGCUUAAUUAUAGAGAGUGGGCUGCUAUCUAAAUUUGAAGAGCCAAAUUCACUCACCAAAUUAAAAUGUUAACUUAAAGAAUAUCUUGAAACAUAACUUUAAGAAUCGACUCUUUAAAAUAAAGAACAUUUUAUGUUUAAAGUCUCUUAAAGAUGCUCUUAACCUCUUUCAUUGGAAUAAACACUCAAGUUUGGCUGUUGUUUACUUAUGAAUUUGUGGACAUAGCUUUGAUUUUUACUCCAGAAAUCAGUUCAAUGAAAACAUCAGCUACUAAAACCUCAUUUCACCUAACACCCAGAGGAUUUCACCAUGUGCUUCAGACAUUUAAAUAAAUUAAGAAAGAAGCUCUUUGCUACUGUUUUCUUUUUCAAUUUUUUUGGAGAUAGUUCUUUUCUACUGUUUUCUUUACUUAUGAAUUUGUGGACAUAGCUUUGAUUUUUACUCCAGAAAUCAGUUCAAUGAAAACAUCAGCUGCUAAAAUCUCAUUUCACCUAACACCCAGAGGAUUUCACCAUGUGCUUCAGAUAUUUAAAUAAAUUAAGAAAGAAGCUCUUUGCUACUGUUUUCUUUUUCAAUUUUUU
rnacentral:lncRNA from 1 species